GGUUAGUAAAAAACUCUCAGAUCAUCGGCUGAAAAUCCUACUGCUUUCGGGUAAGAUGAUGAUGAUUCUCACUUCCUCCAAUUCGAAUUGAUGCUUUGCGCGAGUUCAAAGGCAACAAAGGAAGUUUCCAUUGGAAUGGGUUGGUACCCUUCACCACGACGACCCCAUUCCCCAACAGACCCAAACUCGCCAAAAUCACCCCAAAUUAGUAAGUUAAAUCGUCGUCGUCCGCCAUUCUCACCCUAGAAAGAAAAAAAAAUACAAAACACUUUCCCAAAAAGCUACAAACUUUUUCAACCCGCGCCUUUUGACAGCUCUCGCACCGUUUGACUUUUCGCGGUGACGUCCAGCUGAGACUCCAACCUCCCCAAAUCGUAGCGUGGGGUGGGCAAUUUUUUUCUAUGAUUUAUUGCGCGCUGGCAUGACGUGUAUGACCCUUGACGAAUUCCGCGUCAAAACUGCUUUUUUGCUGAAGAGGGCAGAGAAAACGGCAUAUUUGACGCCAAGUGAAACAAAAUGUUUUCCAAAAAUGCGUGAAGAUCGAUCGUUUGGUAGCGCUGAACAUGCGUAACAAAAACGCGG